UUGGAGGGCAAGUCUGGUGCCGGCAGCCGCGGUAAUUCCAGCUCCAAUAGCGUAUAUUAAAGUUGUUGCAGUUAAAAAGCUCGUAGUUGAAUUUCGGGAUUAGUACGUUGGUCGUGCCUUCGGUACGUACUGGUGUUACUGAUUCCUACCUUCUGACGAACCAUCAUGUCAUUAAUUUGGUGUGGCGGGGAAUCAGGACUGUUACUUUGAAAAAAUUAGAGUGUUUAAAGCAGGCUCGCGCUUGAAUACAUUAGCAUGGAAUAAUGAAAUAGGACGUUGACCCUAUUUUGUUGGUUUCUAGGAUUGACGUAAUGAUUAAUAGGGAUAGUUGGGGGCAUUAGUAUUCAAUUGUCAGAGGUGAAAUUCUUGGAUUUAUUGAAGACUAACUACUGCGAAAGCAUUUGCCAAGGAUGUUUUCAUUAAUCAAGAACGAAAGUUAGGGGAUCGAAGACGAUCAGAUACCGUCGUAGUCUUAACCAUAAACUAUGCCGACUAGGGAUCGGAUGAUGUUAUUUUUAAUGACUCAUUCGGCGCCUUACGGGAAAC
rnacentral:rRNA from 1 species